rnacentral:pre_miRNA from 1 species
CAACUACUCCCUCUGUCCCAAAUUUCUUGUCUUUGAUUUGUCUAGAUACGGAUGUAUCUAAUACUAAAAUGUGACUUGAUACAUCCGUAUCUAGACAAAUCUAAGACAAGAAUUUUGGGACGGAGGGAGUACUUU